rnacentral:lncRNA from 1 species
UAUGAGCUUCUUUUGGGGACAAAUUUGAUAAAUACAUAGGAUUAUGAUUACAUGUUAGACUUAAGAUAUGAUAACUUACAACAAUGUUACUCCUGUAUACUUUUAACACAUUAUGCUCUGGUUCAAAAAAUCAUUACACUUAGCACAUCAACGUUUUUUUGCAAGCUAAGUAAUAUGUAGGUGAGCUACUCUCGUUCUGGAAUGUUCAUUUAUCUCUCAUCUUCAAGAGUAAAUCCGGCUGGUCUAUCUCAGUAUCCAUAUCCUGCAAUAAGACAAAGAGAUGAAGAAACAUGAGUUCUACUGUUAUUGUCCAAGCUUCCAUCAAUGGGAUCAGAGUAUUAGGAUUAACCUGAAUUGUCCAUUGGGUUACCAG